AGGAUAAACGCUGGCGGCGUGCCUAAAACAUGCAAGUCGAACGGUUCUCGUCCUUCGGGGCGGGGAGAGUGGCGGACGGCUGAGUAACACGUGGGUGACCUGCCCUCGAGCGGGGGAUAACUGCCCGAAAGGGUGGCUAAUACCGCAAAUGUCGCGGAUUCGUUUUCGUGACUGAACCGAAUCAGGGUUCGGGGAGGGGCCCGCGGCCGAUUAGCUAGCUGGUGGGGUAACGGCCUACCAGGGCUUCGAUCGGUAGCUGGUCUGAGAGGAUGAUCAGCCAGACUGGGACUGCGAACGGCCCAGACUCCUACGGGAGGCAGCAGUUAGGAAUUUUGGGCAAUGGGCGAAAGCCUGACCCAGCAACGCCGCGUGGGUGAUGAAGGCCCUCGGGUCGUAAAGCCCUUUUCCCAGGGAAGAUAGUGACGGUACCUGGGGAAUCAGCCCCGGCUAACUACGUGCCAGCAGCCGCGGUAAUACGUAGGGGGCAAGCGUUGUCCGGAUUUAUUGGGCGUAAAGCGCUCGCAGGUGGUCCGUUGCGUCGUGCGUGAAAGCCCCCGGCUCAACUGGGGAGUGUCGUGCGAUACGGGCGGACUGGAGGCCAGUAGGGGGAUGCGGAAUUCCGGGUGUAGUGGUGGAAUGCGUAGAGAUCCGGAGGAACACCAGCGGCGAAGGCGGCAUCCUGGACUGGUCCUGACACUCAGGAGCGAAAGCGUGGGGAGCGAUCCGGAUUAGAUACCCGGGUAGUCCACGCUGUAAACGAUGAGCACUAGGUGUCGGGGGUAUCGACCCCCUCGGUGCCGCAGCUAACGCGAUAAGUGCUCCGCCUGGGGACUACGGCCGC
rnacentral:rRNA from 1 species